AUUGAACGCUGGCGGCAGGCCUAACACAUGCAAGUCGAACGAGUGGCGGACGGGUGAGUAAUGUCUGGGAAACUGCCCGAUGGAGGGGGAUAACUACUGGAAACGGUAGCUAAUACCGCAUACCAUCGGAUGUGCCCAGAGGGGAUUAGCUAGUAGGUGGGGUAACGGCUCACCUAGGCGACGCUCCCUAGCUGGUCUGAGAGGAUGACCAGCCACACUGGAACGGGGACACGGUCCAGACUCCUACGGAGGCCAGCAGUGGGGAAUAUUGCACAAUGGGCGCAAGCCUGAUGCAGCCAUGCCGCGUGUAUGAAGAAGGCCUUCGGGUUGUAAAGUACUUUCAGCGGGGAGGCGUUACCCGCAGAAGAAGCACCGGCUAACUCCGUGCCAGCAGCCGCGGUAAUAC
rnacentral:rRNA from 1 species